rnacentral:lncRNA from 1 species
AUCCCGUGGGAGCAGGCAGCUAGUGGGCUGGGUGCCUGAAGACCUACGCAGUUAGCAGGCUGAUUCAUGCCUUCAGCAUCAGAGAAAGGAACAGCCCUUCAGUCAGUACCAGCACAAUGCAGACGCAAGUCUCUCACCACCAACAUCACUGACCUCCUCCUUAAGGCCGGAAUAAACUUACGCAAAUACAUUACACCGCGUCAACUGCAGAGAAGGAUGGUCCUCCCCUUCCUCCUCUGAGGUGCCUCCACUGGCCGAUACAUCUUCAUUCCAGUCUAAUCCC